rnacentral:rRNA from 1 species
UUGCCCUACGGGAGGCAGCAGUGAGGAAUAUUGGUCAAUGGUCGGGAGACUGAACCAGCCAAGCCGCGUGAGGGAGGAAGGUACAGAGUAUCGUAAACCUCUUUUGUCAGGGAACAAAGACUGGGACGCGUCCCCGGAUGAGUGUACCUGAAGAAAAAGCAUCGGCUAACUCCGUGCCAGCAGCCGCGGUAAUACAUAGGGGGCAAGCGUUAUCCGGAAUUAUUGGGUGUAAAGGGUGCGUAGACGGAAGGACAAGUUGGUUGUGAAAUCCCUCGGCUCAACUGAGGAACUGCAACCAAAACUAU